AACGAACGCUGGCGGCAGGCUUAACACAUGCAAGUCGAGCGCCCCGCAAGGGGAGCGGCAGACGGGUGAGUAACGCGUGGGAACGUACCCUUUGCUACGGAAUAGCUCCGGGAAACUGGAAUUAAUACCGUAUGUGCCCUACGGGGGAAAGAUUUAUCGGCAAAGGAUCGGCCCGCGUUGGAUUAGCUAGUUGGUGGGGUAAUGGCCUACCAAGGCGACGAUCCAUAGCUGGUCUGAGAGGAUGAUCAGCCUCAUUGGGACUGAGACACGGCCCAAACUCCUACGGGAGGCAGCAGUGGGGAAUAUUGGACAAUGGGCGCAAGCCUGAUCCAGCCAUGCCGCGUGAGUGAUGAAGGCCUUAGGGUUGUAAAGCUCUUUCACCGGAGAAGGUAAUGACGGUAUCCGGAGAAGAAGCCCCGGCUAACUUCGUGCCAGCCGCCGCAGUAACAC
rnacentral:rRNA from 1 species